ensembl:lncRNA
UUGCAGAGCAUCAGCUAAUUUGCAGUAACUGCCCAUGUGUGUGCUCCUACCCAGCAGAUCCCUUCAGCAAUACCACUUCUCAUUUCCUCCGGGCUCAGAGGAUGCACAUGAGCAGUUACUCCUGUCUCGUGGAUGUGUAGCAAGUUACAGCCUAUCUCACCCCAAGGUGAUUUAUUCAUCUGUCUGUAUCCUCAGUAAUCAAGCCACCAUCUUAUGGAAAGAUUGCCUCUCAUUUAUUUAUGUCUGCCCUUAUAACUUCAAACUAAGUUGCUAGUAUGUCUUAAUUUUCUCCAUCUGUGAAAACAGAUGCUGUUUAUUUUGGAUGAUUUGCCAAGGGAGUCCAAUUGCUGGGGCUUGUUACAGGAGUCAAAGUUGCUGGUGCUCCAUGACAGCCCUGGGCUCGCUGUCUCGCAGCCCCUACAUCUGCUGAGCUCGGUGCCCCCCAGGGCUCCAGGACUUGUUCCCCUCAAUAUUCACUACAAGGAUUUUACCUUGCAGCUUUGGAGCAGCGUGAGCUAUCCACAGGACUAUCCACGGUGACAGUGUGAAGCUCAUCUUAAUCUUUUAUGCUCAGUUUAGAACCAUUUUGCUUCCUCUCAGCGUGAGACACCUUCGUUGUCACCAUAUGGCCUGUCCACAUGGAUGCUUUAUGUUUUUCCAGAAACAUCCCAUGGGAGUGUCAUCCGUGGCUGUGCUCCACAUUGCAGGUGCAUUGAGACUUCCCAGAACAGACAUCUCCUUUACAGCAUACUCUUUGAGCAGAGGCUCUUUCUAAUCACUCAGGUUUGGGCAAGAUCUGAUGCUCUUCAGGAGCCUCACCAAUACCAUUCUUCCUGAGGGAUGACCAGUCUUUUGCAAAGUUCCCUGCGAGGGGCCUGAUCCCCCUUCCCACUUGUGUUGGGCAUUUCAUCAGUGAUCCAAAGAAGACUUGAAGAUUCAGUCAGUGUUAUGGGUAUGGGAUGAGGCUUGUGGCUGAUUGUUGUCCUGAAAGCUGCUUCUCUCCAAGCCCAGGAUUCCCCAUGAGGAUCCAGCUGCAGGGUUAAGGUGCUACCCCAAGUUCAGUGCUUGGCAGCCAAGCUCUGCACUGGGGACUUGCUUAUUGCCCCCAACCCACAUGGUUGUUGCAAACUCCUGGGAGCCUAUCCAUAGAAACCUCUUUCCAUGCCCAAUGUGUUACUGUUAGCCAGGCCAGAUGAAUGCUCAGGGAUUUAGGAUCAGUGUCAUUGGGGAAUUUGAAUGAGGAAAACCCUGGUCAAGGAGGGUUCACCCAGCCAGCUGCUAUCUAGGGACAAGUGCCCCAUGCAAGACUCUAUAGUCCAUCUACUCUGCCACCUUCCAAAGGACUCCCGGGAAAGUGGAAGAUACUUUUCAGUAAUACUCCAGUCUCAGCUGCUUGUUUUCUGUGUAUCAGACAAGUUAAAACCAGACCUGCCUGUGCCGAGCAGCACUGGAGCGUGGCACCAGGCAGGGCAGAUGACUUCUGCCCACAUUUGGUUGCCCAGUUGCUGCCCUUCUUCAUAAGGUGAUGGCAAUGUCAGGCCAUGGCCUCAGAAGUCAGGGAUGACAGAGCUUGAGGCUAAAGAUACAUGCUUUAAAAUCCCAGUUUCCUCACGGCUUCACCUUCUUUGUCCCAUUAUCUUGUGCAGUAUCUCUCCUCCUUCUGCAGCCUUUGAGGUCUUUGCACAUCUGAGGGGUCAGAGCAAGGGCUUUCCAGCACAGCAGCUUAGAGGAGACAAAGGCAGAGUUUCUUUUGCUGGCUCUCAAUGCUGGAGCUGACCUGCCUUCCCGGCAGAGCCGUCCCCUGCUGCUGGAGGUGAGGAGUCGCUGGCAGAGAAGUGAAGAGUUCGCGGGUGGCCACUGCCCCUUUGAGAAAGAAAGUCAUGAUUAAAGAAAGAACCACCAGAAACCAACUGUGAAGAGAGAUACUGAAGGAGAGACAUGAGAGAGAAGAUCCAUGCAGUUUGGUCGCUUCAGUGUUAGACAUGGUUUUGGUCUUUGCUGUUUGUAGAAGCUCAGCCUACAUUGAGGCAGUGAAACCCAAGGGAAGGAGGGAUGCAGCUUUCUUUAAAACUGGGAGAUGUGUUUCUUUGGUGCCUUUUUUUUCUCCUGAGCAAACUAAAAAGCACAGUCCAUGUCGCUCAAAAGCAAAAGAGAUUGAAGAGAGAAACUCAGGAGCUGGGAUCCAGGGCUCAGGAUGCCAAAGCUCAGCUCUGCAGGGUGGGAGGCAGGGAACGUGUCCUGCCUCAACCAGCCUCUGCUCUGCUUCCACCACCCUGCAGCCUGAGCACAGCAUCAAGCUCUUUGCAGGAUGAUCAGAGCUGCCUUGUGCAGAAUUGGGCCCCACAGCCCAUGUUUGGCGGGUAAUAGCUUCCCAAUUACAUUUUAAUGCAAUUUAAAGAGACAGCCAAUUAAAUAAUUAACCGUAGGGAAGAGGUUUUCUUCUUUCCAAAUCGUGUUAAUGCAGAUCCUUAGCAUCAGGCCACCCAUGCGCCGGGAGCAGGCUGCGAUUCCCCAUUUCUUGAGAAACACUGACCUCCAGUGGGGCUGCGCCUUUAUCACAACUGCUCCUGGCUCUUCCUCAGCCUUUUCUUUGGGGCCUAUAA